rnacentral:rRNA from 1 species
UAAUACGGAGGGUGCAAGCGUUAUCCGGAUUUAUUGGGUUUAAAGGGUGCGCAGGCGGGCUGGUCAGUCAGUGGUGAAAUCCCGGGGCUCAACUCCGGAACUGCCAUUGAUACUGCCAGUCUUGAAUACGGUUGAGGUAGGCGGAAUGUAGCAUGUAGCGGUGAAAUGCAUAGAUAUGCUACAGAACACCGAUCGCGAAGGCAGCUUACCAAGCCGAUAUUGACGCUCAGGCACGAAAGCGUGGGGAGCGAACAGGAUUAGAUACCCUGGUAGUCCACGCCGUAAACGAUGAUCACUCGUUGUUGGCGACACAUAGUCAGCGACCAAGCGAAAGCGAUAAGUGAUCCACCUGGGGAGUACGCUCGCAAGAGUG